rnacentral:rRNA from 1 species
CCUACGGGGGGCUGCAGUGAGGAAUAUUGGUCAAUGGGCGAGAGUCUGAACCAGCCAAGUCGCGUGAAGGAAGACGGUUCUAUGAAUUGUAAACUUCUUUUGUGCAGGAAUAAAGUGGGUUACGUGUAACCUUUUGUAUGUACUGUACGAAUAAGGAUCGGCUAACUCCGUGCCAGCAGCCGCGGUAAUACGGAGGAUCCGAGCGUUAUCCGGAUUUAUUGGGUUUAAAGGGUGCGUAGGUGGAUUGAUAAGUCAGCGGUGAAAGUUUGCAGCUUAACUGUAAAAUUGCCGUUGAAACUGUCGGUCUUGAGUGCAAAUGAGGUAGGCGGAAUGUGUUGUGUAGCGGUGAAAUGCUUAGAUAUAACACAGAACUCCGAUUGCGAAGGCAGCUUACUGGGAUGCAACUGACACUGAUGCACGAAAGCGUGGGUAUCAAACAGGAUUAGAUACCCCUGUAGUC